rnacentral:rRNA from 1 species
GAUGAACGCUGGCGGCGUGCCUAAUACAUGCAAGUCGAGCGAACGGACGAGAAGCUUGCUUCUCUGAUGUUAGCGGCGGACGGGUGAGUAACACGUGGAUAACCUACCUAUAAGACUGGGAUAACUUCGGGAAACCGUAGCUAAUACCGGAUAAUAUUUUGAACCGCAUGGUUCAAAAGUGAAAGACGGUCUUGCUGUCACUUAUAGAUGGAUCCGCGCUGCAUUAGCUAGUUGGUAAGGUAACGGCUUACCGAGGCAACGAUGCAUAGCCGACCUGAGAGGGUGAUCGGCCACACUGGAACUGAGACACGGUCCAGACUCCUACGGGAGGCAGCAGUAGGGAAUCUUCCGCAAUGGGCGAAAGCCUGACGGAGCAACGCCGCGUGAGUGAUGAAGGUCUUCGGAUCGUAAAACUCUGUUAUUAGGGAAGAACAUAUGUGUAAGUAACUGUGCACAUCUUGACGGUACCUAAUCAGAAAGCCACGGCUAACUACGUGC